AACGCUAGCUACAGGCUUAACACAUGCAAGUCGAGGGGCAGCAUUGUUGUUGCUUGCAAUAACAGAUGGCGACCGGCGCACGGGUGAGUAACGCGUAUCCAACCUGCCCGUCACUUGGGAAUAACCUUGCGAAAGUAAGACUAAUGCCCAAUGACAUUUAUAGAAGGCAUCGGAAAUGAAUUAAAGAUUUAUCGGUGAUGGAUGGGGAUGCGUCUGAUUAGCUUGUUGGCGGGGUAACGGCCCACCAAGGCGACGAUCAGUAGGGGUUCUGAGAGGAAGGUCCCCCACAUUGGAACUGAGACACGGUCCAAACUCCUACGGGAGGCAGCAGUGAGGAAUAUUGGUCAAUGGGCGAGAGCCUGAACCAGCCAAGUAGCGUGCAGGAUGACGGCCCUAUGGGUUGUAAACUGCUUUUAUAGGGGAAUAAAGUGAGCCACGUGUGGUUUUUUGCAUGUACCCUAUGAAUAAGGACCGGCUAAUUCCGUGCCAGCAGCCGCGGUAAUACGGAAGGUCCGGGCGUUAUCCGGAUUUAUUGGGUUUAAAGGGAGCGUAGGCCGGAGAUUAAGCGUGUUGUGAAAUGUAGACGCUCAACGUCUGCACUGCAGCGCGAACUGGUUUCCUUGAGUACGCAUAAAGUGGGCGGAAUUCGUGGUGUAGCGGUGAAAUGCUUAGAUAUCACGAAAACUCCUAUUG
rnacentral:rRNA from 1 species